ACCCGGAAGCUGUUGCCGGCGGCCGGCCGGCAGGCAGCCUUAAUACCGGGUGGGUUGCGGAGCGUUGUCGCCCAGGUUUGCGGCGGCGGCGGCGGCGGCGGCGGCGGCGGGCCGAGGCCAGCGGAGAGGACCCCGAUGAGCCCAUUUCAGGUCGGGGCUGAGUGUGGGCACGCGGUUCCCGGUGGCAUGUGACCCAGUCCCGGCCGGCCGCCGCCCUCUGCGUGUGUAAGUGUUUGUUGGCCCCAGGGUCCUGCACCACCCGCCCCCAGCCCGCGAAGAGGAUUUCUGCAUGGGGCAGUAUGAAGGCCGCAAAGUUUUCCUCCAAAGCCACACCUCGGCUGGAAGGGGCGAGUUCCAGGGCUCUGUUAGUGGUAGACAUGGGUAGACACGGAGCUGCCGCUGUCGCUUUGCAGUGCGUGUAGGACUUCGAGGGCUCGGAGCCCCGGUUCCCUGAGCAGCACCCAGAUCGCCCCGUAUCUGAGACACAGUUCAUGCCCCCCUUCCAAACUCUGAAGUAAAAUCUUGGCUGUCAUCUUGGGAAGCCACCUUGUUUGUUCAACCAUGAAGACAGAAAUAGUGCCACCGUUCCAGGAGACUCCAGCUGGAACCAGCUGCCACCUCAGUAACCUCUUGAGUAGCCGGAAGCUGAUGGCUGUGGGGGUCUUGCUUGGCUGGCUCCUGGUCUUACAUCUUCUGGUCAAUGUGUGGCUGCUGUGCCUUCUGUCUGCAUUGCUAGUGGUACUGGGAGGAUGGCUGGGCUCCAGCGCCACUGGAGCAGCUUCAGGUCGACUGCACCUGGAACGAUUCAUUCCAGUGGCCACCUGUCCUCCAUGCCCCGAGGCAGAAAGGCAGUUGGAACAGGAGAUCAACCGCACCAUCCAGAUGGUUAUUCGAGAUUUUGUGUUAUCAUGGUACCGUUCCGUGAGCCAGGAGCCAGCCUUUGAGGAGGAAAUGGAGGCAGCUAUGAAAGGGUUGGUCCAGGAGCUUCGGAGGAGGAUGAGCAUGAUGGACACUCAUGCUCUUGCCCAGAGUGUUCUGACUCUCUGCGGUUGUCACCUGCAGAGCUACAUUCAGGCAAAGGAGGCCACUGCAGGGAAGAAUGGUCCAGUUGAGCCUUCCCUCCUCUGGGAGGCUUACUGCCAGGCUACUACCCCACAUCCUGCUGUGCACAGCCCCAGUGCUGAAGUCACCUAUACACGUGGCGUUGUCAAUUUGUUGCUUCAAGGUCUGGUGCCCAAGCCCCACUUGGAGACCCGUACCGGACGCCAUGUAGUGGUCGAACUCAUCACGUGUAAUGUAAUCUUACCACUGAUCAGUAGGCUGUCAGAUCCUGACUGGAUUCACCUUGUACUUGUGGGUAUCUUUUCCAAGGCCAGAGAUCCAGCACUCUGCUCGGUCAGCACCCCCGAACAGCCUUCAGUGCCCACCUCUUUGCCACUGAUUGCUGAGGUAGAACAGCUUCCAGAAGGGAGAGCCUCUUCUCCAGUAGCAGCCCCAGUGUUGCUAAGUUACACUGAGCCAGAGGGUCCUGCAGGCCCCUCCCCAGAAGUUGAAGAAGGUCAUGAAGCUGUAGAGGGAGAUAUGGGUGGAAUGUCUGAAGAAAGAAAAGUAGGAAACAACUCAUCUCAUUUCCUACAGCCUAAUAUUCGAGGCCCCCUGUUCUUAUGUGAAGACUCAGAGCUGGAGUCUCCGCUGUCUGAACUGGGCAAAGAAACCAUCAUGCUUAUGACUCCAGGCAACUUUCUCUCUGACAGGAUUCAGGAUGCCCUGUGUGCUCUAGAGGGUUCACGGGCUCUGGAACCCAAAGAUGGCGAGGGGUCUGAAGGAGCAGAGUCUGAGGAGGGUCCAGUGACAGAAACAGAGACAGGCCUGCGAGUCUCCACACCAAACUCCUGCCCAGAGAUCCAGAUUGACACAGCAGACAAAGAGAUAGAACAAGGAGAUGUUACCACCUCUGUUACAGCUUUGCUGGAGGGGCCAGAAAAGACCUGCCUCUCACGGCCCUCAUGCUUAGAGAAGGACCUCACCAGUGACAUGGGCUCCCUUGAUCCCAGUCUGCCACCAAUUCUGCUUUCCUCCUCUCCACCUGGUCCUCUCAGCUCAGCCACCUUCAGCUUUGAGCCCUUAAGCAGUCCAGAUGGCCCAGUUGUCAUCCAGAACCUUCGUAUCACUGGCACUAUUACAGCCCGAGAGCACAGUGGCACCGGAUUCCACCCAUACACACUCUAUACUGUGAAGUACGAGACAGCCCUUGACGGUGAAAACAGCAGCAGCCUGCAGCAGCUGGCCUACCACACUGUGAAUCGCCGCUAUCGGGAGUUCUUGAAUCUGCAGACCCGUCUGGAGGAGAAACCAGAUCUACGCAAGUUCAUCAAAAGUCAUGAAUUUUCCCUGCUUGCUUCCCAUGUCGAGCCACCUGACUGGCCUGUUGGUUUAUGGGAGGGUUCAGGGAGGAGAAUGCAGUUUCAAGGUUCUCUGCUCCCUGGGUUUGCUUCAGGAGUUUUGAGGUUUAGUGCUGGACAGCAGCGAUCACAUUCUUUCAAAGAUGUGAAGGGUCCUAAAAAGCUCUUUCCAGAUCUUCCAUUUGGAAACAUGGACAGUGACAGAGUAGAAGCCCGCAAGAGCCUCCUAGAAUCAUUCCUAAAGCAACUCUGUGCCAUUCCGGAGAUCGCUAACAGUGAGGAGGUGCAGGAGUUCCUUGCUCUGAACACAGAUGCUCGCAUUGCCUUUGUCAAGAAACCGUUUAUGGUCUCUAGAAUAGACAAGAUGGUGGUGAGUGCCAUUGUGGACACCUUGAAGACAGCGUUUCCUCGCUCUGAACCACAGAGUCCCACAGAGGAGCUGAGUGAGGCCGAGACAGAAAGCAAGUCCCAGACAGAAGGCAAGAAGACUAGCAAGUCCAGGCUGAGGUUCUCAUCCAGUAAAAUUUCUCCAGCACUAAGUGUGACUGAAGCACAAGACAAGAUUCUCUAUUGUCUCCAGGAAGGCAAUGUGGAGUCCGAGACCCUCUCCAUGUCUGGGAUGGAAUCUUUUAUUGAAAAACAGACAAAGUUACUGGAAAUGCAGCCAACAGAAGCCCCAGAAAAAGAUCCAGAACAACUUCCCAAAGGACAUGUGGACAGUUGCUUGUCAGAUGCAGCUGUGCCAGCCCAAGACCCCAGCAACAGCGAUCCGGGAACAGAGACAGAGUUAGCUGACACAGCCCUGGAUUUGCUUCUCUUGCUACUAACAGAACAGUGGAAAUGGCUGUGUACCGAAAACAUGCAGAAGUUUCUUCGUCUUAUCUUUGGGACCCUAGUUCAAAGGUGGCUAGAAGUGCAGGUGGCUAAUUUAACAAGUCCACAGCGCUGGGUGCAGUACCUUCGGCUUCUUCAGGAGUCCAUCUGGCCCGGUGGAGUUUUGCCUAAGUUUCCACGGCCUGUAAGGACCCAGGAGCAGAAACUGGCUGCUGAGAAACAGGCUUUGCAGAGCCUGAUGGGAGUCCUCCCAGAUCUUGUAGUAGAAAUUCUUGGGGCAAAUAAAUGCCAGCUGAGCUGGGGUCUGGUCUUGGAGUCACUACAACAACCCCUCAUCAACAGGCAUUUGAUUUACUGCCUUGGGGACAUCAUCCUGGAAUUCUUGGAUCUCAGUGCCUCUGUUGAGGAAUCUGGUACUACCACCUCUGCUUCAGAUACCCCAGGCAACCCUAAGAGGAUGGGUGUCUCCUCUUAGCUGGCAUUCACGUAUUAUUCCCAGGUCAGGGAAGUAGAGUUACUCAGACACCCAGACACCAGUCAGGAGACCCAUGCCCUCUAGAAGUAGGCUACAGCUCAGGAGACCUAGGCUGUCAGUGGCUUAAUUCUCUCCCACUUCUGUUCCAUUUGUAGCAGGUGACAUGUGUCCCAGUUGCAUGCAUAUUUAUUUCCAUGUCCCUUUUGUGGUGUUGGGAUUGUUGCUGGUGAGUAGAUCCUGUUUCCUUUGGGGAAAGAAGCUGUGAGGUAGAGGAAUAAGCCCAUUUUGCUUCUGCUUUUGCCAUCCUCCCUGAGAUUGUUUGCCAAAACCCUGGCCUUGUGCACACAUGUACCUAAUCCACCAGCACACAAGCUCUGGAUAGAACAGGAAAAAUCUGUGGCCAGAUUUCCUUGGAGGAGAAAACAACCUUCUGAGCUCUGUUCCUACCCGGAAACUAAAAAUUCACUCAGGACCAUUUUCAAGAAACAAACUCUUGAGUCUAAUCUAGUUUCCCACCAGUUCCAGAAGAAGAAUGAGGGAAGAAAAUUUUUCGAGGGACUUCUUGCUCAUGUGUUGCUAUUUCUCAACACAUCAGCCUUAUGGAAGAUGUCAUGAGGCUGCUUCCCUGGGAGGCUGCUUUUCCUUUCCAGAAGACUUCAAAGCUGACUGCCAAAGCUUCUGGACUGCCAGAAAUCACAGGGCGGUAGUCGCUCACCCUGCCUUUGUAGACAAGAAAAUGAAACCAUUGAAGGCUGAAUUUCAGCGAGCAUAUCGCCUUCGUUCUUUUAUGGUAUAAAGGAUGAGGGAGGCAGUGAGGAAGACAUUGCCCCAAACAUAUGUCCACCUCCUAAGACUUACCUGAUAUUUCUUAUUUCACAAAGACAACAUUGACUGGUUUAAGAAAAAAAAAAAUUUGAAAUCCAGAAGAAUGUUUCAGUGUCAAGCAUGAAACAAGUGAAAGUCAUCAUUUUUUUUCCUUCUGUGACUUGGUAGCAACAGUGUAUAGAGCCAAGGCCACUGUGAAGUGGUGGAGGAAGUUCGGGCACCCACAGUCACCUUGGCAGGCACACUAUGCUAUUUUCAGACUUGCAGAGCCUUUGUGCUGCUUCCCUGUCAUCCUCACCGGUCUCUUGUCUGAAAGGCCAUUUUAACUCUGCUUUCUUGGAAACAGAAACAAGCAUGUGACAGGAUGCAGAGAAUGACUCCCAGCUUUGAUAUCUCUUCACCAGCUGAUGAAACCUAGUUUCUCCACCUGUCUUCAGUCUCCAAGCCUUACCUGCAAGCACUUCCAUGAAAGUCACCGACACGCUCUCUCUGGGAUGUGGAAGGUUGGGAGGGAAGAAUUUAAAAAACAAAACGAAAGUAACAGUAUCAAGAUCCAAGCUCAGAAAACAUUUCUUGAAGUGACAUUAUCUACUCUUUUAACCCAAUCUCUUUGUCACCACUCGCUAUUUAGGAAGUGUAAGCUAAUUUUAAUAUUAAAGUGUUACAGUGCUCAAGAAGGUAAGUUUGUGAAUAAUGUAUGGAUGAUCCACACUUUGUCUUUUUUCCCACCUUAUGUUCCAUGUUACUGCUGCACCCUGUUACAAGCAAGGGAGAGAGUUGGCUGUGAUUACUUUCAGAAACUUGGAUUAACCCAUGAGAGUAAAGACUGAGCUAGAUAAACACAGAAGUCCCUGAUUGCAGACAAAAAGACUAAAAUGUCAACAGAAGCGAUGUCUUGUUUAUUCUGUGCUGAAUUGGAUUUGGUGACUUGCGAGCAUAGGUAAUCAGCCCUUUUGCCCAUGUCCCAUGGUGAAGAAUCAUCCUGCUCCUGUUAAUCAAAAAGAUUAACCAUGAAUGUUGAAAUGAAAUAUCUGCUUUUCAUAUCUCGACACUAAGGAAAAUAGACCUUAUUAAGGGAGGAAAAGCCCUUUUGGGGUUUGACUCCUUUACAUAUGGGGCUCACGUGGAAUCCAAAUUCAGUGAGGUAAUGGUAGCCCAGUCCCUUGCCACUUUAUGCAGUUGUGUUUAAAGUUUGCCCUCUGUGAUCUAUAAAUGCAAGCGGCUUUUUCAGGAAUAGUGAGGGCAGCUUUCAUUAAGGACUCCUGCAUCUCUAGGAGAAUCACAUAGGCUUGGUUGGCAGUAGAGCAUUUUCUUGGGGACAGAAUAUAUUAUAGAAAUAGUUUAGAGGCUGGGCGCAGUGGCUCAUGCCUGUAAUCCCAGCAUGUUGGGAGGCUGAGAUGGGCGGACCACCCAAGGUUGGGAGUUCAAGACUAGCCUGACCAACAUGAAGAAACCUGUCUCUACUAAAAAUACAAAAAUUAGCUGGACGUGGUGGUGCAUGUCUGUAAUCCCAGCUACUUGGGAGACUGAGGCAGGAGAAUCGCUUGAACCUGGGAAGCGGAGGUUGCCAUGAGCCAAGAUUGCACCACUGCACUCCAGCCUGGGCAACAAGAGAGCAACUCUGUCUCAAAAACAAAAGAAAUAGUGUAGGCAGAAGGUUAGAUGAGAAAGUUCCACAGAAAUCUAGGGAUUCUUUUUUUCUGCCCAAACCACCAUGUUCCUUUCUGCUUUCAUUUUUUUGCUCAUGCCCUUCUUCUUUCCACGUGGUAGAUUACCUUCCAGCCUCCAGCACGGCAGGUAGGCUCCGUCUGCCUGUAAGGACCAAUUCAAGUUCCCUCUUCAUGAAGCACUGUCUGAGUGCACCAGCCAAAACUUUUCCCAUUUUCUUUCGAGUUAUUUACACUGCCUCUCUAGUCAAUGUGCAUGUAUAUGAAGUUCUCAGUAAGAAAUUACAGUUCUUCAAGGGCAACAAAUGUACCUUUAACUCUUUUAGUCCUAUUAGAUCCUUAUGCCUCCCUAACUAUAUGUAUAUACCUAGUGUAUAACAGGUACAAAAUAAAUAUUAAAACUUAAUGAAAUAUUAUUUAAGAGGCAGAAUUUGUGAAUAAGUUUGGAUCUUGAUACUGUUACUUUCAUUUGGUUUUUUUACUUCUUCCCUCCCAACCUUCCACAUCCCACAGAUAGUGUGCUGGUGCCUUUUAUGGAAAUGCUUGAGGGUAAGGCUUGAAGAGUAAAGAUUGGUGGAGAACCCACUGAAAACCUCUUUGAGAUUAACCACUUAUUCCAGUGAAGAGCACUGUCUAAUUUAUACCAGAUCUGCCCAGACAGCUUUAUACCUCUUGCAUGUGGUUGGGGACUUGAAAAGUUUCCUUUUCAGUGGAUCUGUUUGGAUGAGGUAAAGAAAUCUGUUGCUCAAAUGUUUUCAUCAGAGGCUACCCCCUGCUCAGGUGUGUACCCUGCAUCCAUGCGGGUUUGCGGAUGACAUGACAUUUGCAGUGUCAGAGCUUGUUGCCACAGAUCAAAGGGAAGUAAGUGUGCAUGUGUGGAUGCAUCAGGAAUACCCGCGGUCUUUCUGCUGAAGAGCCAGGUUAUAGGCCUCCUUUUAGCAAUCUGGAGAGGACUGAGGCAAGAGCUUGUAUUGAAACACAAGCUCCCUGUAUGGUUUUGGACAUGGAAGAAUGAGUGCUGUUGGGAUGGAAUGACCUAAGUUUUUAAUAGGAUUAGGAGUUCCGUGGAUUUUUCCCAAGUGAUAGAAAUUUUCCUCAUCUAGCAGGCAGCCUCACCCAAUUGCUUCUCUAUGUUCAUUUCUGAAACUCCUUAUUAAAAACAAAACUACAUAGCAACAGAGAAGAAACUUUCUUCAAAAAACUCCUCGUAUAUCAUUUCUCCUGUUCUCAUGGAACUUCAAAAUUGCUUUUUCUUUAUUCCUUUUCUUUCCUAUAUCAGUUCAUCAGUCUUUGUGGAUGACCUGACUACCCCACUAGUCUAAUUAUUUUUUGAUAGUUAAAUCAAUAUGGACAUCAACUUAAGGCUAUAUGUCAACCUUAAAUGUAUGAUAUUUUCUGUACUUGAUUCAACAACUGAUAUUCUGUGAGGAAAUUUGGCCAGAUGUUCCCUUAUGUGAAGUCAGAAUAACCACCAACCCUGAGAUUAAACAUUUUGACAAAUGCUUUAUAUGUUCCAAACUACUCACACAACUAGAAAGUUCAGCCAUUCACAUCUCUUGUUUUUAAGUCCCAGAUUCUGAGACUCAGAAAGUUUAGUGACUUGUUGAGCUUUCUGUAGAAAAUCUGUUGUAAAAACAUUUCAGACACUGGAAAAUAUAAAAUAGCCCCUAGAGAUCCCGAUAAAGCUUCCUCUCCCCAAAUCACCUCUACAAGUUUAUCCUCAAGAAACUUUCUGAGAACCGAUGAGAAAAUACUGAGUAAUUAAUGCUCAAAUGGAAAAGAUGACAUGUAAACCAAAAGCCUGUUACUGACAUCUGUUCAUAUAGUUCAUGUGCCUUUUUACUUACCUGCACUGCUAGGCAAUGUAAUGAAGAGGUUCCCUUUUACAACAUAAAAUGCAAUUAAACAAAGUUUAUCUUAAAUUGACUGGACCCACACAACUUGUUUGAAACAUACACAGUUGUCUUUAUUUAGAAGCACCUAGACUAGUCAAGCUUCUUUCUAACCUGCCCUUAGGGAUUACCUGUUUGUCUGUCUUCCUACUGGGCUGUCUUUCUACUGCCCUUGGAGGCAGAUUGUCUUGUUUCCUGAAGUUUUCCAGCAUAAGCCGUGGUAGACAAUUCUUUCUUUAUCUGUUCUAGCUCAUAAGCCUUAGCUAGUUCCUCCAUCCUCGGUGCAUAGCCUAGCCACAGGCAUGUAACAGACUUUGCCUACAAGCAGUUGCUGAUCCAUAAAUGAAGUUGGCAGCCUUCUUGUGGCAGUGAGUAACAUAUUUCCUUCCUCCUAAUAGGCCUGGAAUCCUCAUCCCCAUCUGGCAAGUUUCUUUUUGUCUUUCCUGCACUCACAAUGAAGCCCACACCCCUCACAGCCCCCUUGACUAAACCAGAUGACAGCAAGGACGCCUAGUUCCAAGUGAGCAAGGGUGAAGGCUUAGGUUCUUGUCUCCUCCAGAGUCCUCUCUGCUGUGAGAAUGUGCUGGGGCAUGGGGUGUGUGUGCAGCGGGGAGAUACCUAACCUCAAACUGAGAAAUAGGGUGUCCUGAGCAAGUUUCAUAGCAUAGCAGCUUCCAUCCAAAAUGUGAAGCUCUGAGGGCCUGUUGCCACAGUAACCAGCUAGCUCCUGACUCCAAUGCCUGUCUAAUCUGACGUGGAAAUGUCCCAGAAACAGACCCCAGGCUGGCAGCCCUUAACUAUGACCCAUCUCAUAAGCAAAUAUCCAGCUGUACCCUCUUGGUUGCUGGGGUGAAGGGGCCUCUGUCUCACCACAGGAAAAAAUCUGAUGAAAUCUGGGCUCAGAAAGGGUGGUGGGUUUUUUCCCCCCACUAACAGACUCUGCAACUCAGUCCCUGGUGAAAAAGCUCUGGCACCCACCUGUUUUGUGCUUAUAAUGCUGAGCUAAAAGUGGGAAGGAGCAGUAACACCAAAGAAGGCUUAUUCUCUUCCUGUCUUUAGGAGAGAGUCUCUGCCCCCAUUAUGUGAAAAGGGAAGGCAUGAGGAGAGUGAAAAUCAGCCUUUUGGAAACACCUUUUUACCACAGGAAAACAGGUGAUUCAUAGUAUCUUUGAGACUCAUGCAGACUAUGUCUGUUUAACUCUUCAAGCAAUAUGAAGGCAGAGAUGGAGCCAUUUCAGAGAAGAUAUUUUUUUUAAAAAUCAUUUUGUUCUUUGGAAUUGUCACAGGAUUUUCAUGUAGGUCUUCAAAAUAAUUUCACUCACCUCCAAACCCACCCAAAAGGAAGGCAAUGAAAUGAGGAAGAACACACAUUUGCCUGGCAUCAGAAGAGCUGUCUCCUAGUCACAGGUCCUAGUGAUCCUGGACCAAUCUCUUCACUUCCCUGGACUUCAGUUUCUUCCAUGCAAAAAAGUUGGACUGGAUCGUAGAGAAGACACUGUCCAGCUUUGGUAACGUCAGGUAGGGAGCAGAAACUGUCUCUUAGGGCCUGGCCAGAUUCCAGAACAACCACGAUGCCCUCAGUGUUGGUCCUAAAAAUAAAUCUCAUCUCAGUAAAGAUUUCUUCCACCUCAUUUGAGUCUCAAGGAAGGAAGAAAGGAAACCUUGCGACUCUCUUCUUGAGAGGAAUAUACUUGACUUUCCCUAGGCUUCUAGGAUAAAAACUUUCUCUCCAUUUUUUCUUCUUUAAACCUGCCAAAAUCAAGUUGAUUAAAGAUCCCACACAGAUAUGAAAAAUAAGUCACAUCCUUAAAUUUUCAUGGAGUACAAGAGCCUGCUCAUCCUUUCCCAGGAUGGUGGUGGCACUGAUCAUCCAGGUCAUACACAUGUUCAUGUCCCAGAGAGUUUCCCAUCAGCCAUCUCAUUUAAUCUUUUCAUCAUUCCUCUGAGGAACAGACUUCACACAUGUAUAGGACUUUGUAUAUCACAAAGUGUUUCAUAUCCAAUACCUUACUUAGCUCUUGAUAAUCACUGUUUAAGGUAAUUUGGCAAGUUAUUAAUAUUCAUGUCCUCAUUUUAUUGAAGAGGAAACUGAAAUGCAGAGAGCUUGUCUUUUACCCAAGAUCACUCACCACCCAGUUUACUGGGAGGCAACAGCACAGGGAUUAAGAAUAUGGGCUGUGCCAUGUUCUUAAUCAACCAACCAGUGGAAUCCCAGCUCUGCCAGUAGUUAGCUCUGUGGCCUCAGGGAUGUGAUUUCACAGCUCUAUGCCUUAGUUUCCUUGUCCAUUAAAUGCUCAUAAGAAUAGUGCUUUCCUCACAGAGAUUGGGCGGGCAGGGGAGCUAAAUUAGCUAAUAUAUUUAAGAACAACCUUGAGCACACAGUGCGUAAUAAAUGCCAUUGUUAUUAGGAAAGCCAGGACCUGAGUCUUCCAGCUUGUAGCUCAUGGUAUUUCUGUGCCCUACAGCAGAGAAAUUAUCCCUCGUAUACAGAUGUGAACUUAAAGCCUUCAGUGUUUCAAUGAAAAGUUCACCCAAGGUCUUUCUGUUUAGUAGGUUUAGAGUUAAAGGCUCCUGGCACCUGUCCAGUCUUUUCACUGUUAAACCAUGCUGCCCUCCAUUGCUCUUGGCAGAAUGUCAAACCUUCUUACAUUUUAAAAAUGCAUAAAUCAGCCACUCACUCUUACCUAACAUUACUGACAGCCUGAAGGCAGACUCUCCCACUCUUCUGAGGAAGGGAGUCUUCUAAUCUGCCAUCUUAAGGAGAUAAAAGGGUUUGAUUGGGUAACUCAUUGCAAUGGGCCAGGGACUGUCUCCUGGCCUUUUCUCAUGCUGUUUGUCUGCUGGAAUUACCAGAAGUGCCAGGCCAUUUGAACAUUUGACCAUUUAUCUUAUAGUUCUCUGAGUACAAGUCUUAUUUUUCGUACCUCUAUUACGUACUUUUUUAAUAAUGAAGACUGUGUUGUGUGUUGAUUUGUACUGUCCCUGCACAUACUAAAAUGCCUAGGAAGUAGAUAUACACAUGUU